GAUAUGGCUCAGAAUCAACGCUGGCGGCGUGCCUAACACAUGCAAGUCGAGCGAGAAAAGGGGGGCAACUCCCUGAGUACAGCGGCGCACGGGUGAGUAACACGUGGGUAAUCUGCCCUGAAGUGGGGAAUAACACCGGGAAACCGGUGCUAAUACCGCAUACGAUCACGAGGUCUGCGGAUUUUGUGAUGAAAGGAGCAAUUCGCUUUAGGAGGAGCCCGCGGCUGAUUAGCUAGUUGGUGAGGUAAUGGCUCACCAAGGCAACGAUCAGUAUCCGGUCUGAGAGGACGGUCGGACACACUGGAACUGAGACACGGUCCAGACUCCUACGGGAGGCAGCAGUGGGGAAUUUUUGGCAAUGGGGGGCCAACCCUGACCAAGCAACGCCGCGUGGGUGAUGAAGUCUCUUGGGACGUAAAACCCUUUCGACGGGGAAGAAACCGCAAGGUUGACGGUACCCGUAGAAGAAGCCCCGGCUAACUCCGUGCCAGCCGCAGC
rnacentral:rRNA from 1 species